UGGAAGCAGGCCAUUGCCAAGAGGAGUAGGGUGGACAGUUUUUAAAACUUGCCUCAUGACCUACUAGUGGGUUGGGAAAUCAAAUUUGGUGGUCAGGAUCAUCAUUAAAAAAAAGAAAUAGAAUAGAAGAAACAUAUCAAAGUAUAAUGCAGAUCAUAAAGGUGAAUAUUGUUUUUUAAAGCAUCUUUUCAGUUUUCUAUAAAAAGUAUAUAGUAUGCACGUGUGUGUACUAAGUUGCCAUGUUCCUUUCCUUUCUCUGAGUUACAGGAGAGAAAGUUUGUAGUCUCAGCUUUCAUUCUGAGCUGGGGAUAGAGCUACCCUCUGAUGGCUAGGGGCCAGAGCAGAAUAUAGGUCUGUUAGGAAGAAGAGAUGAGUAGAUAUUGAAUACCUAAGCAGAAAAAAUUGUUACAUCUCUUGAUAUAUAUUUUUUCUUUCAUGGUGAAUUCUCUGUAUUUCCCUAUUUUCAGACUCCAGUUGAUGAAAACAUGCCAUUUUGCCCAAGUCAAAGGAUCACAGAUAUUCAUACAAACAUAAAUCUUCUAUUUUUGUUCAAUUAGCAGAACUAAAAUACAAGAGAAAAAUUAUUGGCUCUCUUUUGGAGAUAGGCAGCAAGAACAGCAACAGUAAUCCCUGAAAAUAACUGCCAGACUUAGAAAAAAAAGAAAUUACUUUUAUAUUUCGGAUAGACAUCAACAGAAUUCCAUGGAGCAGAGUGUGGAGCGAUCUGGGAAGUGGCUGAGCUUUCUCUCUGGAGCAAAACAUGAAGAUGAAGUGGAAGAAAAAAUGUGGCAGAGAAGGAAAAGUAAUCUCUACACCCAGCUUGGGGCUUGAACUCACCACCCUGAGAUCAAGAGUCACAUGGUCUUCUGACUGAGCCAGCCAGGUGCCUCUGGUUUUGUGUUUUAGAGUGAAUCUCCCAGAAUCGGUGAGCAAAAUCCCUAACUGCCAAUUUGGUCCAGAAAAAACAGUAUAAAAUGUGCUAACUGCCAUUGUCAUUCACAUCUGGCUGACAGGUGGAUUUUACUAACAAUGCACCUUCAUGGUAGCUUUCUAUUUCAGUUAUUCUUACUAAAUAUAUGUUCUGUUCUGUUGUUUUCCCUGCUGCUGAAGCAGUGUGUGUAAUGUCAAGAAGCAUAAGGACAAGUAUUUUAGUCACACAAUUGAAGAGACCAUUAUUUAAAGAUUUCAUCUUCUAAUUCUGGUUGCUCAGACGAUGAUGCCUAUAGCCACUCUUCUUGUAUGACUUCCUUUCCUGAUACUCAGUUUCUUGCUCUGCAUAUUGGAGGAUAAACACUCUUUACUUCGCUUCAUAAGUAUUAGAUUCUAAAUAAACAGUAGCUGUAAUAAUACUGGUGAGGAUCACAGGGGUUCUGUGAGGCUGAAGUCUUUCAAAAGCAGAACAUACUAGCGUUCUUCUGGAAUGUUCAGGUGCUGCUGCUGGCCAUACAGCAGAGAGAGCUUUCUUCUUCUCCUUCUCCUCCUUUCUCUUCUUCUCCUUCUCCUUCUUUUUAAGAUUUUAUUUAGAGAAAGAGAGAAUGUGAGCAGGUAAUUGGGCAAAGGGAGAGUGGAGAAUCCCCAGCAGACUCCCCGCUAAGCAAGGAGCCCAUGCUGGGGCUCAAUCCCAGGACCCUGUGAUCAUGACCUGAGCUGAAACCAAGAUUCAGGUGCUUAACUGACUGAGCCACUCAGGGUGCUCCCAGAGAGCUUUCUUCUUAGACAGCAGAAUCAAAAACAGACUUGCCUUCUGUAACCACUGUCCUGUGAAUAACUUUUUAGCACAUGGAGCUGAAAAGUUUCAGCACCUUUUGCACAUCUCCCCCCACUCUUUUUUUGUGUGUGUCACAAGUUUGCACCUAAAACAACACAAUAACUAUACACUCUCUA
rnacentral:tRNA from 1 species